rnacentral:rRNA from 1 species
UGGGGAAUAUUGGACAAUGGGCGAAAGCCUGAUCCAGCCAUGCCGCGUGUGUGAAGAAGGUCUUCGGAUUGUAAAGCACUUUAAGUUGGGAGGAAGGGCAGUAAAUUAAUACUUUGCUGUUUUGACGUUACCGACAGAAUAAGCACCGGCUAACUCUGUGCCAGCAGCCGCGGUAAUACAGAGGGUGCAAGCGUUAAUCGGAAUUACUGGGCGUAAAGCGCGCGUAGGUGGUUCGUUAAGUUGGAUGUGAAAUCCCCGGGCUCAACCUGGGAACUGCAUUCAAAACUGACGAGCUAGAGUAUGGUAGAGGGUGGUGGAAUUUCCUGUGUAGCGGUGAAAUGCGUAGAUAUAGGAAGGAACACCAGUGGCGAAGGCGACCACCUGAACUGAUACUGACACUGAGGUGCGAAAGCG